GUCUGUUCCCAGGUGGCUGGCAAGUCUUAAAUCCUCUUGGCAUUCUCCCUUCCUGCCCACCCACGCAAGGCCAAGGAAGGCUGGUCAGCAGGGCUCCCUUGUACCAGCUUCCUUGCUCAGAUGGGACUUUGUCCCCAAGGCUCUGGAUGCUUGGAGUCACAUCACCAGAGGAAGGCUCCCCGAUCUCCCGCGUCCUGGAAGCCAUCUGAAUUGUUCCACGUGAGCCCUGAACUUCUGUUUGUUCCUCCUUCAAGCCCAUAUCUUCUUCAGAGAAAGGUCUUUGUGAUUUCUGCAACCACACACAUGCCUUGUAGAGAUGUAGAGCACUCAUUUGUGUGGAAACAUAAAAACAAAACACCCUGAAAAAACACACACCAGGUUCAUAGGGAAUAGAUCCGCCUAUAUUGUGGUGAUCUGUGUCUGAAAUAGGUCUGCCACAGAGUGAGAGAUUAAAAACAAAUGAAACCCCGUGCCAAGUGCCGCUGAGGCGGCAGCCCCCUCAGCUGUAGUGGAGACCCUCUCCCGGGAAAUGGAUAAGGCAUGAGGUCUGGGGAAAUGGAUAAGGCAUGAGGUCUGCUCGGAGCUGGCCCGGGAGGGAGAGAGGCGGAAGAGAGGCUUGGGGCUGUCUCCACCCACACCCCCGGAAGUGAUGCGCAAACCAACCACUGCAGAAGCGCUCCGGAGGGCAUGCUUAGAGGAUCACAGAGGGAACAUGACCCUGCUGACAUCUUGGUUUCAGACUUCUGGCUUCCAGAACUCUCUGGCCCUCGUCCAGUGGCAGCCUCUUGGAGAGCCCAGCCCUAGGACGGAGGGAGAUGAGGACUCUUCGCCUGGUUCCCAGCCCAGCCUCAGACUCUAGGUAUCCCCUCUCUUUGAAAGUGUGCUUUGUGCUACUUUGCUUUUACCAAAGACCUACUACAUUAGUAUGUGUUCUCACUAACUGAAAGAAACCUGAAGAGGAUCUUUGCUUUUAUUAAAAGGAUCACUCUUACUGAGAUGCAGUGGGACGUGUCCCUGGCCUAAUCAUAUAUGCCCUGCUAUUUGCCUCAUCAUCAUCCCCUCAGCAUCCUUGGACUCACCCUUGAGAAGAGGGAAUAUGAAAGUUAAUAAGUCACAAAGACUGCAAAGUGGAGCAGCAUGGUGGUGUGAUAGGAAGGAAGAGAAAGGGAAAGAAGGAGCCAGAGAGUUCUAGCACUAACAGAGCCUGGGGACCAUCUUAUUUACUGGGACCAUAUUAUAUGAGCCAGAAAUCUGGACUUGUGGCAUCGCUAGAGGUUUUGGAACAGCUGCUGUAUGAGAGACCAUCUGAGAGAGUCUGGAUUUGAGCGAUAGAUCAGUGUCUGGAUUUGAAUGCCCCAGACAACCACCCUUCUACUUCUGUCUACAAAUUUGACUGCCCUAGGUACUGCAUUCAAGUGGAAUCAUACAUCUUUGUGAUGGCUUAGCACUGUGUUCUCAAGGUUCAUCCAUGUUAUAGCAUGUGUCAGAAUUUCUUUCCCUUUUUAAGGCUAAAUAAUUUUCCAUUGUCUGAUUAUACCAUUUGUUUAUCCAUUCAUCUGUUAAUAGACAUUUCUUAUACCUUUUGGUUGUGAAUAAUGCUACUCUGAAUAUGAGUAUGCCAAUAUCUCCUCCCCUUGAAUUGUUUUUGCUCUAGCUUCAUUUUAACUUACAUAGUCCUGAAGUAUAUAUACAUAAUUUAUUUGUAGUUGUUUUCCAGAUUAUAUAAAGUAUGCCAUAUAUAUCCUUGUGGGAUUUUUUUCGGUUUAUAUUAUAUUUCUGAGAUUCAUAUAAACAACGUUUGUAGCUGGUUCAUCAUUUUGACUGUUACUUGACAACACCACAGGAUUCAGAGCUUGAAAUCUCUUAUGUGUUGCUUGCUGGGCAUGUCAAUUGAUACAACCGCUUUGGAAAAUAGUUUCUAUCUCAUAAAGUUGAAUAUUCCCAUGCCUUAAAACCCAUCAAUGCCACUCUAUGUCCUAGAGAAAUUCUUGCCCAUGUAAAAUAGGAGACUUGUAUAAGGACGAUUCCUAACACUUCUGUUCAUGAUAGCAAAAACCUACUGCCCAUCAACGGAAGAGUCAAUGAAUAAACUGUGGUUCAGUGUUGA